rnacentral:tRNA from 1 species
GGGGUUGUGGCUCAGUGGUAGAGUGCUUGCCUAGCAUGUGCAAGGCCCUAGGUUCGAUCCUCAGCACCA